AAGGGGAAGAGGAGUUGGAAGGGGCCGGUGGAGUCAGGUGUCGAUUUGGCGCCCGCCGCUGCGGAGGGGACACUGCCCCGGACUGGUGCUGCCCAGGGAGCGUUCAGGGAGCGUGGGGCGCCGACCACUGCAGAUGCGGCGGCGCGCGUGGGCUCGGGCAGGCGCCCCCUUCUCCCGGGAUAGAAACUGAUAAACGGAAGCGCGUGUGAGUGUGGGGGUGCGAAUCGCCACCUCCGGCCUUGGCUUUCCCGCUCUUCCGAGCGCUCCCACUUCUCACUUUCCCCAAAUCCGCAUUUUCCUUGGCACAGCUCUCCCGGAGCACGAAGGAGAGGGAGGUACCCGGGGGCAGUGAGAAUGACGUGUGCUGGUGCAGAGGGGGUGGGGGGCUGCGGGCCUGGCUCUGUGGACCGGCUCCUAAUCCUCUUGUUUUCGGAACCGUCAGCAGAUGUGGCUUCCUUUACCUGAAUAAUCCUUUAAAGGAAUAAUUUUUAAAACGGAAUCGAUCUCACCCAAAGAGGACGGCGCACAAGAUUAGGGCUUGAUCUACUGCCUUUGGUUGGGCUGGCUGAAUCGCUGGGGAUUGCGGCCAGUCUCGUAAAAAGGAGAACAAAAAGCUGAAGACCUUGUGUGGCUGCCGGGACAAAGCACCUUGGGCUCAGGGAGAAGCGACGCGCAGGAGCCCUGGCCCCGGAACACGAGUGGCCGCUGCAGAAGGGCGUCCGCCCAGGCGUGCGGACCGCUGAGGGACUGCAGCGGGCGAGUUCCGGAAGGUUGAAUCCCCAGGUCCCGGCCCCAGACCGCGGCAGCUAGCGCCUGCGGCACGCCCGGCCCGGCUGCGCCUGCACUCAGCGAUUGAGGAAAAAGCCUGGAUGCGAAAGGAUGGGGGAGAACAAAGAGCCUUUGGAAGACGUCGCUGUUAUCUCAUUGUCUGUGUGAUUGGGGGAGCUGCGGCGGGGAGGAUGCUGUGGUCCCUUCCUCCGGCGCUCCCCCACCCCCAUCCCUCUCCCCGCUGUCAGUGCGCAAGUACACGCGCCGCUUUUUAUUUCUUUUUCCUCGUUUUCUUAUUCCAUCUUCUACCCACCCCCGCUUCCUUUCUUUCACCUUUCCUUCCUUCCUUCGUCCUUUCCUUCCUCAGGAGAAAGGCCUCUCUCUCCGUGUUCACAGCGGACCUUGAUUUAAAUGUCCAUACAAUUAAGGCACGCGGUGAAUGCCAAGAAUGGGGCUGGCUGAGCACCUUGGGUCCACAAGGGCCCGCCAAGGAAGGAGCCACCGACCGAGCCGGGCGCCCUCCGCAGACCUCCGCGCAGCGGCUGCGGGCGUGAGGGGAGGGGUCUCGAGCUUUCUCCGGCUGCGGAUCCCGAUCCCGUGGGGUGGGGAGGUGUGCAGCCUGUGACAGACAGGGUCUUAAAGAUGCAAACAGACUCAGGGAAAGAAACAGAAGCUGAUUCUGUGACAGAAGUAGAUCUGUGCAGCACAGAUGCGGUGUGCGUGGGGUGGGGGUCGUCUGGGAGCGCAUUGCGGAGUGCUUGUGUGUGCAGAUUUUUCUCUGGGCUCAGGACUCAUUGUAUGUGGGUCGACACCUUUCUCCGUGGCUGUGUUUUUGUUCUGAGCUUAGUUUUUUGGUUUGGCCUUUAAAAAAAAAAAUAAUUUGGCAUCCAGAGACUGGCAGACUGCUCCAGGGCCUGGACUGCGGAUAUAUUGUGUUCUGCUUGAGGUUUGGAGAGGAGGGCAAGGGGUUGCAAGGGAGAGGGGAACCUGUUUGUCACCCUUUGCUGUAGAGCUGAGAGCACCUGACAAGCUUAAGAAGUCGUUGGGCUAGGUGGACAAGAAGGAGCCAGCUCCCGGCAGGUUCACAAGCUCCUUCUGAGCUGAAAGCCUGGCCAUAGCUCUAAGGAGCACCUCACGCCUUCCCUGUAGCUGUUAUUGUAGUUUCAGGCAGAGAUCCAGGAGCUGCAGAGGAAGAGAGAGGCACAAUAACCUACACGGACCCCAGGGAAGCAUGUGUUCCUUUAAAAAUGUGAACAGAAGGAAACACAGAAUGUGUGCAAGUGGGGGUCUGAGGAAAGACUGUUUUGAAAGAAACUGUCAGGGAAUGGAAAGGGUUAAGCCUCCCUCAUCCUGAAGAACCUGCUUCCCAAAUCAGGCCUUCCUCCCAUCACUAGACCCUGAGCAGCAGCUGGUCCUAGAGACCCCCCUCGUCCUGCGCUGCCACAAUUUCAUCCCAUUUCCAGCUCUGUAUUAACCACCAAGCUACAGCGGAUGGGGCAAGACCUAAGCUCAUUAAUUUCCAGGUGGAGGAUAUGGAGGAGGGGCAGGUCCCUGCAGCAGAGGGAGGAGCAGAGAAAAGAGGCCAAGAGCUGGAUCCUCUGCCCAGGAAGCCUGCUGCAUCCCUUCCCCCGAGCAUGGCAGAGGCCUGGCUUUGCAAGGCCAAGGCCAUAAGGGAUGCUUAGGAGAUUAAUUUGAUUCCUGACACAGCAACCAAGGCCUAAGAGUCUCCACGGAAGCUUACUAAGGACUUCUUUCCUCUCCAAAGCCUCAGUCUAGCCGCUUAAAUAAACUAGCAUUCAGUGAUGCCUUGAACCAAGGCCCCUCCCUAACCUCAGUGCCCCCAAAUAUUUAUUGAGUACCUACUAUGUGCAAUCCUUGUGUAAUUAUUACCUCUUAGGCUCUUCAUUUGGCCUCCUAAGGGAGUGUUUAGAAUCAGGCAGAGGCUAAGUGUGUUGCACCCCACCUAGAUACUUCCAGAACCUUCUCUGGGUCUGCAGAAUGUGCCACAACCUGCUUGCUCCUGCAGAGAGAAAGCUGCAGUGCACAUCCUGCAGACUGCAGGUGCUGGGCUACCUCUGGAGUCCCAGAAGGCAAGCUUGGCUGCAGGACAGAAAGGGAGAACAGCUUCUCACCCCUGCGCCUUAACAAGCCUUGGCUAGCCGCCACUGCCUUUAAAAUAUACAUCCCUUGAAAUUGGUAGCUUCCUAAGUCCUGGGGUCCCUGCCGCCCUUUCUGGACAGGUUCAGGAAGAAGAAAGCAGUCAAUAUUGGGCCUCAUUGGGGUGUAAAGCCCCUUGCUCUGCCCUCUCUGCUCACUGUGAAGGCUGCUGAAUGCUUCUUUUAAGCAUGGUUUAAGCCUCUGAUUACUAAACCCUUUGCCCCACAAAUGUCCACACUGGAGAGCCUCUUUUCAGUAAUUGCUUCUCCGUAAUACCUUCAGAGGUUGCUGUACCCUUCACUGAUGUGCCCUCUGGUCAAAUCUCCAGAUGCCUCCCCACGUAAUGCCCCUUUCAGAUGCUUUAAGCUGAGAGCUUAAACUGCAGGUACCAUGGCCGCCGCCUGCCAGGUUUCUGCUUUGGAUAAUCGAUGAUGGGAGGGGCAUAUUUUUUACUUCAUUACUUAUAUAAACUCUUGCUCCAGAAAGCGUUCACGUGUGUGGGCAUGUUCUGGAUCUGCUAGGUCUGCGUGCAUGGGUGUAGGUAUUUGCCUGUGUCCGCCAGGUGGGUCUCAUUACAAAAUGUAUGUCUAUGUAGGGCUUUAAUGGCCGAAAAUGGCAAAGAGAUGAAUGGACAACUUGGCCCCAUGUGUAAUUGCGAGGCCCCUUCUGUGCUCAAACAAGUUGUCCCCGUGAAGGUCAGCCCUUUCCUUCUGUGUUUGGGGCCUAUUUAUACCACGUCAUUUUACAAGAAACCUGAAAAUGUCUCCCCUUUGAGGGCAUUUAACUCUUUAGCAUCUUCUUUUCUUCCCUAUUUGAGCCCCUCUAACUACAGUCUGUGGCUUACAUGAAAGGGGAAUUAUAUGGUUAGGAAAAAGUAGGACAGUGCUGACUGAAUGCGCAAAGAAGGCCCUGAUGGGUUUAUACACACCACCACCAUCACAGUCCUGCGAACUAAUAUGAUUCUUGUGGUAACUGUACCAGAUACUUUCAGAUUUAGAAAUGUAUCAAAGGAAAAAUUGGUAAUACUCUUCUUUCCCCACCAGUGACAGCCCAGAUCUCCGCUUAAGCGGAAAAGAGAUUGACCUUCUAACAGAGGCAAAGGUAAACUCCUGUAAGUUACUUCUGUCACCAAAGGGAGGGGGCGGCUUUUGUGAAUGUAUGAGGAGCUUCUGCCAGAGAAAUUUUUGGGGGAGGGGUGUGCCCAUGUGCACACAUAUGUACAUACAUUUCCCCACAUAACCAUAUCCAGUGCCAGCAUUUAGAGGAAGGCAUGUAGCCACCAAAAGUCCAUCCACCUAUGCUGCUUCCACAGGGAAAUCAUUUUCUCUUUCCUGCUCUUGAACUUACAUAAUACCCCCUCCCAUUCCAACCUGAGAAUGGAGCCUUUUGGGGGCAGCUGCAAAGCAGUUCUCCCUGGGACAGAUGGAGCCGCCCUUUCCGCAUCUACUCUGUGGGUGGUUUCAGGGCCCAUGAGUCAACACGAGGCGUUGUGCUGGGGGUAUGUGUGUUGGAGGCUGAGCUGGCUGAUUCACAGUGACAAGGAUGUCAAUAGUAACAAGAAUGAGAAUGAUGGUACCUAAUAAAGAAUUUUUUCCUCCA